rnacentral:rRNA from 1 species
GUGUCAGCCGCCGCGGUAAAACGUAGGAGCCAAGCGUUAUCCGAAUUUACUGGGCGUAAAGCGCGUGCAGGCGGUUGGGUAAGUUGGCUGUGAAAUCUCCCGGCUCAACUGGGAGGGGACGGUCAAGACUGCCCGACUGGAGGCAGGUAGAGGGAGGUGGAAUUCCCGGUGUAGUGGUGAAAUGCGUAGAUAUCGGGAGGAACACCAGUGGCGAAGGCGGCCUCCUGGACCUGACCUGACGCUCAGACGCGAAAGCUAGGGGAGCAAACGGGAUUAGAAACCCUGGUAGUCC